GUAGUGGCCAAGUGCUUUGGGUGUCCGCCUUGGAUGUGGGAAAUCUCGGGUUCGAACCCCGGCUGAGUCA